GAAAUGCGAUAAGUAAUGUGAAUUGCAGAAUUCAGUGAAUCAUCGAAUUUUUGAACGCACCUUGCGCUCCUUGGUAUUCCGAGGAGCAUGCCUGUUUGAGUGUCAUAAAAACUUUCUCAAAACCUCGUCUGACGAAGGCUUUGUAGAGUGUGUGGAGUAUGCUGGAUUCCUUUUCAGCCGCUCUGAAAUGCAUUAGUGACCCUUUGCGAUGGUAAAGCUUCACUUGGUCUGAUACGCUUAUCUAGGCCAUUGAAUAUAUAAAUACCAUGUAUUUGGGAUUGCUUCUAACUUUUGUUGCGACAAUUGUGGUAUUUGACCUCAAAUCAGGUAGGAUUACCCGCUGAACUUAA
rnacentral:misc_RNA from 1 species